CCAAAAGCUGGCGACCGGCGCACGGGUGAGUAACACGUAUCCAACCUGCCUCAUACUCGGGGAUAGCCUUUCGAAAGAAAGAUUAAUACCCGAUGGCAUAGUUCUUCCGCAUGGUAGAACUAUUAAAGAAUUUCGGUCAUCGAUGGGGAUGCGUUCCAUUAGGUUGUUGGCGGGGUAACGGCCCACCAAGCCUUCGAUGGAUAGGGGUUCUGAGAGGAAGGUCCCCCACAUUGGAACUGAGACACGGUCCAA
rnacentral:rRNA from 1 species